AGAUAAGAAUGCCUUCGGUGCCCUCAAAGCUUCUUCUCCUCUCUUUGAUUCCUUCGUUGACUCCUUAUCAUUCUGGAUUGAGUACUAAUCGUUUGAAACCUCUUGAAAAGUGUGAUUGGCGUGGUAAUCUUAGUUAACAUUUCGAUUCCUUCUUCUCUCUUCUCAUCUUUUUACCCUCUAUUCUCUCGUCCUCAUCUGGUUCUUGAGAUUUUCCGAGCUCGGACACACAAUCGUUGAUCCAUCUUUGGUGUUUUUACUUUUGGUGCUGCUCGAUUUGCAACCCAAAAAGGUGAGAAAUUUUGUCUCUUUGACUUCUGCAGGCUUUAAGUUUUGUUUAAUUUGGGGAUUUUGUUUCAUGUUCUAAUCACUUAGAAUAGAUUAGGUUCAAAUUCAUGGGCUUAUGUAUCAUGCAAGUAGAGUGAAUGGAAUUUAAGCAUGACUCUCUGUUUUCCGUUGUGUGACCAUUCAUUUACUUUGGAUUUGUUUGUGCAGUUACAACUAGUGUGACUACCUUCUGCUGUUAGUAGGAUAUGAGCUCUGUUUGUGGUAAGUUGGAUUUCAAAGAUGCAGACUUUGACAUCUCCACUUCGAGUGCCACGCAAUGUUCUAAAGGCUCGAAGAAUACCUCGUUUACUGGCUCUGAAGAUUCUCAGGAGUCUGAUGGAGAUGAAACUGGUUAUACAGACCCAACUGCGAAUGAAGAUACCGCUGAUCAGGAUUUCGGCAAAUCCACUUUAAGUCCUAACUCUUCAGAUGAUGAAGACAAGGAUGAGAAUCUUACGACUGUAAGUCAGCCUAUGUUUCUCCUAAUACUUUGUUACCAUCUAUUUUCCAUGGUUGUGUACCGUCUUUUGGAGUUGAAAGAUCAAAGUAGUUAGUUGUUCUGCCUAGGCUUUCGUAUGUGUGGUUGGUUUUCCUGAACCAGUCUAAAUCUUUAGAUCACAGUAGUUAUGAGUCAAAAUCAUAAUAAUAUAUAAGGCUCUCGUGGGUCAUUGAUAUUUUCCUAUGUGUGGUUGGUUUUUCUGAAUUAGUCCUGAAGCUUUUGAAAGAAUAAGUCUACAAGAGUCUCGUUAUAUAGUGCAAGCAAGGAGAAAACAUUUGAUUCAAGAAAUUAGUGUUUCUGGAGUUCCGUAGUUUGUACAUUAGUAAGAGUUUAAAAGCCCUCGCAAAUGGGCUGUUAUCUAUCAGAUUGAUCUCCUAGUGAAAUUCUUGUAAUAUCUCUCAAGUCAAGACUAUGUAUCCCCUACUCUAUGCUGAUUGUUUCUCAUCUCUUUCUUGAGUUGCAACAGACACCAGUUGUUCUCAUCCCAGCCAUAAAAGGCAGUCGAGAGAAGCAUGGCUUGUCACUGAGGAAGUUGAGUGUUUCAUGGGCGGCUGAUGUGUAUGAUCCUCCUCCCUCGAUAGCCUCCCACACAAGAAGCAAGAAACAACUACAGAAAUCAAAGAGCAAAGACAAUCACAGGAAGACCGGAAAGAAAGGACAGAAGAGCAAAGACAACUCUUCCUCACGUGGUGGCAGCAGCAAAGACAAGAAGCAAGCUUCUCGCAAACACAGCCGCGAAAAAUUUGAAUGGGUAACUCAGAUGCCGUUAGUUGCAGCAUCUUCUUGAAUGGCAUUGGCUUCUUCUAAUAACCAAGCACAUCUACAAGCUUGGCAUCCUCUUGUGUAUUAAUUGAACAAAAAAAUUCUGUAUUGAGUUUGAGUUUGUGCAACUUUCCUUAUAGUUAAUGGAUGAUCCUUAACACUAUUUGUGACGAUCUUGUUGUUGUUUGUUGCUUUUGUGAUCAAUUAAUUGCACUAUUUUGCUUUUUGAAGAUAAUUUUUGUUUUUUUGAUUCAACAGUCAAAACAAAAAAAAAACAAUUGCACAGAUCUAACCCUUAAUUUACUUUAUUUUUUAUUUAUUUACUUUUGUUCUUAUUUACUAUUUAGUCUCUUCUCCCAAAGAGAAAAAGUCAAAAAUAUAAAUAAGAUUUUUAUUGCACAGAUGUAACCCGUAAAUUACCUUGAGAUCCAAGCUUAAAAACCUAAUUUACCUUUUUAGUAUCUUGUUUCUUCUUCUCUCAAAGAAAAACAAAAGUCUCUAAAUCUCACGCGUCGAAACCAUGAACUACGGCGGUAAGAUCUCUGUUCCUUGUCAUAGUGAAUGAAUUCUCAGCAUGAGAUCUAAUUCUAUUGGUAAUGGUUUAUGCGUUUUCUUUUUCGUGAAGAGUACGACACAGCCGUCUUCUGGCUCGCCGAGGAAAUCCCAACCUCUAGUGGUCCCAAUCAUUCGAUUUCUCGUAAUAUCAAGUUAGCUCUUGAGAAAUUGGGUAUUCUUAAUUUGGGGGUGAUCAGGGUUUAUGCUCCUGAGAAGCCGAGCUCCACAGAAGCUGAAUGGUGCGAUCCUCGUAUCUACUACUAUUUCGAAGGUAAUAAAAACACUCGGGUUGAUACAAUGUUCUUUUGCCUUAUGACCUUUGCAUCUUGUUCUCGUGGAAACCAAGCUGCAAAUUUGAUGGUGAUCUCUAAAACUCCCCUUAAAGACGAGUGUCUCAGGGUUCUUCGCGCUUUGGAAACUAGAGGUUUCAAGGUUUUCUUGGUACAGUCUGAUGAUGAGGCAGAGCUUUAUCGUUCUGCAGACUCAAUAUUUGAUUGUACAAGAACAUUAGAUGGUUCAAUUCCUGUGGUUUCUAUUCCUAUGGACUUUGACAGUGUUUCUUGUACUAGCAGCACUAGCUGGGAAACUGAUACUGAUCCUGACAACUCUUCUGAUCCUGGGAACCUAGAUUUAAGCAGUCUUACGUUUGAAUGAUAUGUUUUUGUAAACAUUUUGAGGUUUCAUCUUUGUUCUGGUAAAGUCUGCUUUGGGUUCAAUUUAGCUCCAUGUACAAUUUGUUCCAUAGAGCGUAUUUGGGCACUUAUUGACUUGGCCCAUAGAGCGUACAAGGGAAUCUUAUUCUCAUUGAUUUGCCUCCAAACGUUUUCAUCGUAACCGGGAAGAGAGGACGAGAUUCUCCACUAAUUUCAAAAGGCCAAUGUUUUUCUCUACCUUUUUCUUUUCUAGGGUCAAGAAUACAAUUCUAUGGUUUCGUUUUUGUUAAUUUAAUUAUAAAAAAAUCUCAUUAUUUCUCUAUAUAAACAAACUCAUUCUAGAUCAUUCAUCAUCUCUCACAAAUAUUCUCACACUAUCGAAACAAGAGUCAAAGAUGAACAUCAAACAAGAUUUCUCGUAAGUUUUCUCUCCAUGUUUUUCAAGAGAAUUGUUGUCAAGUGUAAAAUCCUUGUUUUCGCGGUUUAGCUAAACAGUAAACGUAAACCGAUGUUUUAAUUUUGGGGUUUCGAAAUCAAGAGGUCGACCAAACCGAUGAUAUGUCAUCUUAAAGCUAAGAGACUAUUAAUAGUGUCUUAAAAACACUAAAUCCUCGUUUGUAUAUCCAUUGGCUCGCAUACGGCAAAAUCAUACACAAUAACCUGCGUGCUUCUAUUGAGACUCUGAAUAAUCAUGUUCUUUGUCAGAUGUGCCCACUAAAACAAUUAAGUGUGAUGGUGUUGAUUUGGUCGACCUUCUGAUUUUCGAAGUCCCAAAAUCUAAACUCAUGUUUAUGUUUAAUGUUUAGUAGCCACGAGGACAAGGGUUCUACACUACACUUAGUUGGAUGGUCUUUAAAUAUCAUUGAAAAGUGCCAGUUGUCGUGGAGAAAUAUUGUUUUCUUUUUGUUUUACGGUAAGAUAUUAGACUUAGGAGGUGUUAUUGGUUUGUGAUUUAAAUAGAGUUUUAGUGACUUUAAAUGUUAUGUAGAAUCUGUUGUUAUUCAAUCAAGAUUUUUUAAAAGUUUGUUAAAGUUUGGUGUUAUUAGUUUAAGAUUUGUAAAAAGUAAUCUAAAAUCUUUAUAAAUCUGGAGUUAUUGGAUUCAUACUUUUAUAAAGUCAUUAAAAGUUUUGUGUUAUCCGAUUACAACAAAAGAAUCUAUGAUUGUUAAUGAAUUAGAUUAUUAUGUUAUUGGAUUAUGACUUUUUACAUUUUUCUUCACAAAACAAAGUCAUGAAAAGUAUCAUCAAAAUAGAGAGAUUGUUUGGGAAACUUUACAAGAUUAUGAAAUACUAAUCAACAAGAUUAUAGAAAACUCUCAAAAACUCUCCAACAAUAGUUUAUAAUCUUUCAUUUGCUUACUUUCUAUGAUUUUAUUAAAGUCAUCAAAAUUCCAUGUAAAUUAGGAACCAAUAACACCCCCUUAAUUUCUUAUUUUGUGGGUUCCAUAUCCUUACUAUAUAUACUAGGCUUUUUUAGACCCAAAACACAAGGACACUACGAAGGUGAAUAAAAUUUAAUAUGUUUUUUCAAACCCUUAAUUUACCUUGAGAUCCAAACCUUCAAACCCUAAAAGGUACUUCUGUUCGUAUCUUGUUUCUUCUCCCAAAGAAAGAAAAGUCUCUAAAUCUCUCGCGUCGAAACCAUGAACAGCCGCGGUAAGAUCUCUCUUCCUUGUCAUAUAGUGAAUUAAUGGUUAAUGGAGAUCUAAUAAUUAGAUUGUAAUCGUUUUAUGCGAGUUCUCUGUUUCAGGGCCUUGGUACUCGAGCAACACAUGCGUCAUCUGGCUCGUCGAGGAAAUCCCAACCCCAAGUGAUCCCAAUGGUUAUUUGAUUUCUUCUAAUAUCCGAUCAGCUCUUGAGAGAAUGGGUUACCUUGGUGAGGAGAGGACCUGGUGUUAUGGUCCUGAGAACCACAGAGCUCAACAGAAGCUGAAUGGUUCGACGUCUGCUACGAAUCAAUAGGUGAAUUUCUUUGCAUUAACCUUUUUAUCACUCUAAUCUUUAUAUAUGUAUGUAAUCAAGAUCUGUGUUUUUAUAUGUUUCCAGGCGAUAAAGACAAAAGAGUUCGUAGGAUGUUAUUUGACAUGAUUACAUUUGCAUCUUCCUGUGAUGAUGGUAAACAAAACAAUGUGAUGGUAAUCUCAAAAACCCCACUUACAGACGAGUGUUUCAGGGUUCUUGGCUCUUUGGAAGCUAGAGGUUUCAAUGUUCUCUUGGUGCAGUAUGAUGAUGAGGCAGAGCUUUUUCGUUCUGCAGAUGCAAUUUUUGACUCUACAACAUUAUUAGAUGGUUCACGUCCUAUGGACUUUGACAGUGUUUCUUAUUCUAGCUUAGGAAGCUGGGAAACUGAUUAUGAUCCUGGCAACUGUACUGAUACUGUUAGACUAGACUUAAACAGUCUCUCUUUUAAUGAUAUAAUUUUGUAAUAGACUCAAAACAUGUAGAUAGUGAAUAUAAUUUUGUAAUAAGCUUUGGGUUCAAGUGAUUAGUUUUCCUUCUGUAACCGCAUGCAAGAUGUCGAGAAAACCUUUGUUCUAUCAUAACAUAGCGAGGAUUUUUUAUUAAUGUGUGGAGGUGUUUUUAUCACAUGAACACCAACUGAGAAAAGAGCAGAGUAUAUAUACCAAACCACUAUGUUUCGUUUCAAUGUGAUCCCUUUCUAUCAGCUUUAAGGAGAGGUGUUGAAAUAUCAUCAUAUGCCUUCCAGUUAUUCUGGUGUGAUGUCAAUAUGGGCCUAUGCUGAGAAGAUACCAUUCUCGGAUGACGUGCUGGAUAAGUUUCAGAAAGCCAAAAUCUAUUUCCUUCCCAAAGGUGAAUUCUUUUUCCUUAACCUAUCUUAAUUAACGCUCUUUUUUCUCUUUACAUUACAUAAUCUAUAUCUCCAGCCCAUUACACUCAAAAAGAAAAUAUCAAGGCCCAUAAAGAAAAGUCUUAAGGGUAAGGGACACGUGUACAGUCAUUAAGCUUGUCUACAUCUAUCGCCGUUGAUUUUUCUUGUUUAAAAAAAAAACGACAUCAUCAUCAUCAAUCAUUCUUCUCUUCCUUCUUCAAUCUCUUCUUCUUCUUCUUCUUCUUCUCAAAUUAGCUUCCUCCUCAAGCGUGAGAUUCGUUGCGGAUAUAAUUCUCCUUGAUUCUCUGCUUUUUCCAUGAUCCGAUUCUAAGGGAUUCUCGCGGCUUCGUUUUUUGUAUAUCUUGCUCAUUUCGUCUAGAUCAAAGUUUUCUGAGAUCUCUGCGAUUUCUGAUUCGAAAUUCGAGAAUUAGGGUUUUUUUUUUUACGGUUAUAGGGUUUCGAAGAGCAUAAGAUAAGAAUGCCUUCGGUGCCCUCUAAGCUUCUUCUCCUUUCUUUGAUUCCUUCGUUGACUCCGUAUCAUUCUGGUUUGAGUUCUAAUCGUUUGAAACCUCUUGAAAAGUGUGAUUGGCGUGGUAAUCUUAGUUAACAUUUCGUUUCCUUCUCCUCUCUGCUCUCUUAUUUCUCUUCUCUCUGGUUCUUGAGAUAUUCCUAGCU
rnacentral:lncRNA from 1 species